CAUCUACCGAGAAAUCCUUUUCUCCCAAAUCUGCCAAAAUCUCUCCCCUCCCGAGAACCCAACUUUUCUGAUACCUUCACUCUUCUCCUGUUAAAUAUCCAACCUGACCCACUAGAACGCUCCCACUCUUUUGCUUCAAUCUGCAGGAACCCAAGGCCAGAAUCCUUUCACAUCAAGCAAAACAACAACAAAAGUACAAUCACACCAAACAAAUCUGUAAGGUCCGAAUAACCAAUAACAGUGACGCUUCACACGAGUUGAGCUUGAAUCUGCACUUUCGAGGCUCGUUUUAAUAUCGAUCGAGAUUCUCAUUUGGCCUAACACGUCAAAGGAGGAUUGUGUACACAAGGUUAGUGACUCGAUGGGUUGAUCGCCAUCGUGCACCAACAGAUUUAGAACGUUAUAAGGAUGGGUGCUUGCCAGAAGGUUAUCCGAAGCACAGUGAAGAUUUUCGGAUCUGACUGGGUGCGUCCCGAGAUCAAAUGGACGUGGGGAAGAAAGCGAGUAACAAUCGAAUGCACAUGGGCGCCCUCAACAAGAAAAUAUUUUGUCAUGCUUAGAAGUUAGGCGGCUGGUGCGCAUGGUGCUGAGCUGGGGAGUGUUUCAUAUUCCAACGACUAUAUACUCUUUAGCUAAUCUAGCUAUAUUCUUGAAUAACAUCUAGUCUAAUUAUGUUGAGCUCAGACUCUUUAUUUCUAGCCCGCUGCUUCGUUUGAAUGUUAGAGUAUCAGAGUUGUGAAACUAAACCUAUUUAAAUCCUCGGGGAUUCUUCAUAUAUUGAACUCGUUUUAUGUCA